UGGGUCUAAUUGGUAUUUAUUGUUGCCCUUGUUUUGGAUUGCAGACCUUUGAUAAACCUUCCCCAGUGCAGAAAACCCAUGGUUAACUCCACAGCAGUAGGGAAGCUAUGGAAGCAGAACUGCAAUUAACCUUCGUGGGCAAAACAAAACGUAAAAAACUACAAGGAAGGGUCAUUUUUGGCAGAUGCAAUUCUUCAUGACAACUGGCAGAGAGUUUACACCAGUUUAUCCCACCAGCUGAGUGUGAGAGACCCUUCUCACGACACUCUUGGUAGCACUAUUGACUUAAGAAAAGGACAAUUGGACAACACAGUCAAGGCCUUCUCUCCAUUUUAGUCGUUCGUGUCAUUUUAAAGCCAGAGUAAAUGGAGUGUCUUUGUACUGUAUCAUGAAAACGAGGUUUCUCUGCCUUAUGAGUAAGUGCGAAUUCAUGUUUCACACUUUUUGUACAAGUUCUUGGAGGCUUGGAAGUCCAAAAUCAAGGCCCCUGCAGAUCUGGUAUCUGGUGAGAGCCCGCUUCCUGGUUCAUAGAUGGUCAUCUUCUUGCUAUGUCCUCACAUAGUAGAAGGGAACAAGAAAGAUUUCAGAGGCCUCUUUUAUAAGGACACUAAUUCAUGAGGCCUCUGCCCUCAUGACCUAAUCACUUCCUGAAGAUCCUGCCUCCAAAUACCAUCACGUUGGGGAUUAGGCUUCAACAUACAGUUUUGGUAGGACACAAACAUUCAGUCUAUAGCAAUAAAGAAGUGAAGAAUAAGCUUCUGUUCACUGAUUUAUAUUUUCCUCCAGAUUGGGUUCUUUAACUUUGAAUAGUUUCAUGUUUUCUUUGUACUGAGGAGAAGUAGAAAAGGUUGCUGGAGGGAAACUGAAGAAUAAACAAAAGGACUGAUUUUCUCUGAUUGGAAUAUACUUAAUUUAAAAAAUGGUGUGAUAUCCAAGACUAUCCCCCAUGGGAAUAAAAAACAUCGAUUGGAAGAAGAGUCAGUGACAUUGCUUAUUUUCCAACAACCUUUUCCACUUCUCAUCAGUAAAAGGAAGAAAAAAAUAAGGAAACUCACUUUUUUUUAAAAAAUAAAUUUAUUUGUUUUAUUUAUUUAUGUUUGGCUGCGUUGGGUCUUCAUUGCUACGCGUGGGCUUUUCUCUAGUUGCAGAGCGCAGGCUUUUCAUUGCGGUGUGCAGGCUUCUUAUUGCCGUGGCUGCUUCUGUUGCAGAGCACAGUCUCUAGGUGUGCAGGCUUCAGUAGUUGUGGCUCGCGGGCUCUAGAGUGCAGGCUCAGUAGUUGUGGUGCAUGGGCUUAGUUGCUCCGCGGUGUGUGGGAUCUUCCUGGACCAGGGCUCGAAUCCAUGUCCCCUGCAUUCGCAGGUGGAUUCUCAACCACUGUGCCACCAGACAAGCCCCUCACUUGGUUUUUUAAAGUCCAUAUUUAGGAGUAUUAAUAAAGAAUCUCAGAAUUUGUUGACUCAUAACAAAGGUCUUGAGGAUUAGAGUUUGAUGUGUGUUUUAUAUCUCUCCUGUAUUCUAGAAUCUUCU